GGAAGGUUGGCAGAGUGACCGAAUGCGCUGGACUCGAAAUCCGGUAUACGCUUUACCGCGUAUCGGGGGUUUGAAUCCCUCACCUUCCG
rnacentral:tRNA from 1 species